AGCUCCAAUAGCGUAUAUUAAAGUUGUUGCAGUUAAAAAGCUCGUAGUUGGAUUUCUGGUGGGAGGGAUCGGUCCUGCAUUCUUUGUAGGAACUUGUAUCCUCUCCGGCCAUCCUUGGGUGGAUCUUGUCUGGCAUUAAGUUGUCAGGCAGGGGAUGCCCAUCGUUUACUGUGAAAAAAUUAGAGUGUUCAAAGCAGGCUUAUGCCAUUGAAUAUAUUAGCAUGGAAUAAUAAGAUAGGGCCCUGGUACUAUUUUGUUGGUUUGCGUACCGAGGUAAUGAUUAAUAGGGACAGUUGGGGGUAUUUGUAUUCAGUAUUCAGUGGUGAAAUACUUAGACCUACGGAAGACAAACUACUGCGAAAGCAUUUACCAAGGAUGUUUUCAUUAAUCAAGAACGAAA
rnacentral:rRNA from 1 species